rnacentral:rRNA from 1 species
AUAAGUAACACCGUCCUAUCUAUCUGUUCGUGGAAUGUAAGAGGACUUGGUGAUGUAUCCAAAUGUGUUGACAUUCUAUCAGACUUAAUCAGCAUUAGUCCACACUGUGCACUCCUACAGGAAUCCAAGCUACACGAAAUUACCGAACGAAAAUUCCAGUCCUUCCUGCCAAGAUCUCUAGACCAAAAAAUCUUUCUUCCGGCCGACGGUUCGGCAGGCGGAACCGUCUCAGCGUUCAACUCCGGCUACUUUACUGUGCUCUCCCACAUUCACUAUCACUAUGCCACCUCUAUCAAACUCACAUCUCUCGCACACCCACACCCCUUCGUCAUCACUAACAUCUAUGCACCCGCAUGUCAUAACCUCAAACAAGCCUUUCUUGACGAGCUCAAAACUAUCAAAGUAGACGACCACACGCCUUGGCUAAUAGUUGGAGACUUCAACCUUCUCCGGUUCUCACAUGAAAAAAACAACCAAAAUUUUCACCAACGAGAGGCUGAUGCUUUCAACAACACGAUCAAUGAACUAGCGCUUCUCGAACUACCACUGCUAGAUAGAAGGUUUACGUGGUCCAAUAAACGAUCUACGCCAACCUUAGAACGUCUAGACAGAGCCUUUUUUAACCUGUCCUGGAACACCUGCUUCCCCAACACCACCCUAUCCUUACUACCACGCAUCACAUCCGAUCAC